UUUCCGUAGGUGAACCUGCGGAAGGAUCAUUACCGAGUGUUGAUCUUGUAAUGAGAUCGCCUCCCACCCUAUGUUUAAAUAUCAACUUUGCUUCGGCAGGUCGUUCAAUUCGGGUAACCGAGUUGGCCAUCGGCAAACGCGGAUGUGGUACCUGCCGAAAAGAAAACUCUUCAAACUUUUUGUCUGAGUGAUUUAUAACAAAUCAAAACUUUCAACAACGGAUCUCUUGGUUCUGGCAUCGAUGAAGAACGCAGC
rnacentral:misc_RNA from 1 species